rnacentral:rRNA from 1 species
GUAAUAGCUCACUGGUCAAGUGGUUCUGCGCCGACAAUGUAGCGGGGCUCAAGCGCACCGCCGAAGCCGUGGCAGCAGCGCUUUUCGCCCUCCUCCCCCCUGUUGGAUGGGGUGGUGGGUGCGCUGCUGGGUAGGGGAGCGUCCUGCGCGGGGCGAAGCCCGGGGGUGACCCCUGGUGGACCGCGUGGGAGUGAGAAUGCAGGCAUGAGUAACGAAUUCUGCGGUGGGAAUCCGCAGCGCCGAUUGACUAAGGGUUCCAGGGCCAGGUUCAUCCGCCCUGGGUUAGUCGGGUCCUAAGGCGAGGCCGACAGGCGUAGUCGAUGGUCGACCAGUUGAUAUUCUGGUACCGCGCGGCGACCGCCAGUGCCGAUACCGCUGUGCUAACCGCCCGCACCGCCCCCUCCUGCGCUUUCGGGCGCGGGGGCGGGGGGUGUCGCGGGGCCCCGGUGGUGGAGGCAAGCGUGUUGACAGGGGUGACGCAGGAAGGUAGCCGCAAUGCGCCGGUGGUUGUGCGUAUUCAAGGCUGUGGCCCGUCCCCCAGGCAAAUCCGGGGGGCAUGUGGGUGAGGGCUGAGGAGGGACACACGCGUGUGUGGACUUGUGGUGAUCCUAUGCUGCCGAGAAAAACCCCGACGUGAGGGCGCCGCGCGCCCGUACCCCAAACCGACUCAGGUGGUCAGGUAGAGCAUACCGAGGCGUUCGAGUGAAUCAUGGUUAAGGAACUCGGCAAAAUUCCUCCGUAACUUCGGGAUAAGGAGGACCCCGUGACUUCCCCGCGCCUUGCGCGGGGGUGGGGUUGUGGGGUCGCAGAGAAUAGGGAGAAGCGACUGUUUAUCAAAAACACAGGUGCGUGCGAAGCCGUAAGGCGAUGUAUACGCACUGACGCCUGCCCGGUGCUGGAAGGUUAAGAGGAACCGUCAACACCCCCCGGGGUGUGAAGCGGUGAAUUUAAGCCCCAGUAAACGGCGGUGGUAACUAUAACCAUCCUAAGGUAGCGAAAUUCCUUGUCGGGUAAGUUCCGACCUGCACGAAUGGCGUAACGACUUCCCCGCUGUCUCAACCAUGAGCUCGGCGAAAUUGCAGUACGAGUAAAGAUGCUCGUUUCGCGCAGAAGGACGGAAAGACCCCGGGACCUUUACUAUAGCUUGGUAUUGGUGUUCGCUUGGACUUGUGUAGGAUAGGUGGGAGACUGUGAAGCUGCCGCGCCAGCGGUGGUGGAGUCGUCGUUGAAAUACCAUUCUGGUUCAAGCGGUCACCUCAACCUUGGCCCGUGAUCCGGGUUGGGGACAGUGCCUGGUGGGUAGUUUAACUGGGGCGGUUGCCUCCUAAAAUGUAACGGAGGCGCUCAAAGGUUCCCUCAGCCUGGUUGGUAAUCAGGUGGCGAGUGCAAGUGUACAAGGGAGCUUGACUGUGAGACCGACGGGUCGAGCAGGUGCGAAAGCAGGAACUAGUGAUCCGGCCAUGGCACGUGGGUGCGUGGUCGCUCAACGGAUAAAAGGUACCCCGGGGAUAACAGGCUGAUCUUGCCCAAGAGUCCAUAUCGACGGCAUGGUUUGGCACCUCGAUGUCGGCUCGUCGCAUCCUGGGGCUGGAGUAGGUCCCAAGGGUUGGGCUGUUCGCCCAUUAAAGCGGUACGCGAGCUGGGUUCAGAACGUCGUGAGACAGUUCGGUCCCUAUCCUCUGUGCGCGCAGGAAACUUGAGAAGGGCCGUCCCUAGUACGAGAGGACCGGGAUGGACGAACCUCUGGUGUGCCAGUUGUACCGCCAGGUGCAUGGCUGGUUGGCUACGUUCGGAAGGGAUAACCGCUGAAAGCAUCUAAGCGGGAAGCCUGCUUCAAGAUGAGGUUUCCACGCCCCCACGUGGGGUGAGAGGCCCCCGCCAGACUAGCGGGUUGAUAGGCCAGAGGUGGAAGCACCGCGAGGUGCUCGCGAGCCGACUGGUACUAAUGGGCCAACACUAAACAAC